rnacentral:misc_RNA from 1 species
UUGAAAAUCUGACUGGCGUGGUUCAGUGCUGACUUCUUAACUGGAGUAUGUGCACGUUCUGCGUUGGUUGUUAUUCAUCCACCUGUGCACUUUCUGUAGAAGCUUUUUGUUGGGUUGGCUUGGAUAGGUUCUUAAUUGGGCUUGUUCAGUUGACUUGAUAAGACUUCUAUGUCUUUACAAACCAUUGAAGCAUGUUUAGAAUGUCUUUUAUUGGGACUUAACUGGCCCUUUAAACUUUAUA